AUUGAACGCUGGCGGCAUGCUUUACACAUGCAAGUCGAACGGCAGCGCGGGGGCAACCCUGGCGGCGAGUGGCGAACAGGUGAGUAAUGCAUCGGAACGUAUCCUGUAAUGGGGGAUAACGUAGCGAAAGUUACGCUAAUACCGCAUACGCUCGAGAGAGGAAAGUGGGGGAUCGCAAGACCUCACGUUAUAGGAGCGGCCGAUGUCCGACUAGCUAGUUGGUGGGGUAAAGGCCUACCAAGGCGACGAUCGGUAGCUGGUCUGAGAGGAUGAUCAGCCACACUGGGACUGAGACACGGCCCAGACGCCUACGGGAGGCAGCAGUGGGGAAUUUUGGACAAUGGGCGAAAGCCUGAUCCAGCCAUGCCGCGUGCGGGAAGAAGGCCUUCGGGUUGUAAACCGCUUUAGUCCGGGAAAAAGGGGUGCGAGGAUAAUACCCUCGUGCUUUGAUGGUACUGGAAGAAUAAGCACCGGCUAACUACGUGCCAGCAGCCGCGGUAAUGCGUAGGGUGCGAGCGUUAAUCGGAAUUACUGGGCGUAAAGCGUGCGUAGGCGGUCUUGUAAGACAGUCGUGAAAGCCCCGGGCUUAACCUGGGAACUGCGAUUGUGACUGCAAGGCUAGAGUGUGUCAGAGGGGGGUGGAAUUCCACGUGUAGCAGUGAAAUGCGUAGAGAUGUGGAGGAACACCGAUGGCGAAGGCAGCCCCCUGGGAUAACACUGACGCUCAUGCACGAAAGCGUGGGGAGCAAACAGGAUUAGAUACCCUGGUAGUCCACGCCCUAAACGAUGUCAACUGGUUGUUGGA
rnacentral:rRNA from 1 species